rnacentral:rRNA from 1 species
AUUGAACGCUGGCGGCAGGCCUAACACAUGCAAGUCGAACGAGUGGCGGACGGGUGAGUAAUGUCUGGGAAACUGCCUGAUGGAGGGGGAUAACUACUGGAAACGGUAGCUAAUACCGCAUACCAUCAGAUGUGCCCAGAUGGGAUUAGCUUGUUGGUUGGGUAACGGCUCACCAAGGCGACUAUCCCUAGCUGGUCUGAGAGGAUGAGCGGCCACACUGGAACUGUGACACGGUCCAAACUCCUACGGGAGGCAGCAGUGGGGAAGAUGGCACAAUGGGCGAAAGCCUGAUGCAGCCAUGCCGCGUGUAUGAAUAAGGCCUUCGGGUUGUAAAGUACUUUCAGCGGUGAGGCGUUACCCGCAGAAGAAGCACCGGCUAACUACGUGCCAGCAGCCGCGGUAAUUC